rnacentral:misc_RNA from 1 species
GUUUCAAGGAGCAGAUGAUAAGAUAUUAAGUAUGAAAAGUAAUGUUAGAAGUGAAGUGCAAGUGAUUGGGCUCGCUGGAUCGACCAAGUUUGAUGUUUACGGGUGUGAUUUCGGGUGGGGCAGACCAAAGAAGGUGGAGAUAAUCUCCAUAGACAGGACCGGAGCAAUUUCUUUGACAGAGAGUAAAGAUGGAAAUGGAGGAGUUCAGA